UUCGAUUCUGGCUCAGGAUGAACGCUAGCUACAGGCUUAACACAUGCAAGUCGAGGGGCAGCAUGGUCUUAGCUUGCUAAGAUUGAUGGCGACCGGCGCACGGGUGAGUAACGCGUAUCCAACCUUCCCUAUAGUAGGGGAUAGCCCGUAGAAAUGCGGAUUAAUACCCUAUGUUGUAUUUUGAGGACAUCUGACGAAUACCAAAGGUUCACCGCUAUAGGAUGGGGAUGCGUCUGAUUAGGUAGUCGGCGGGGUAACGGCCCACCGAGCCAACGAUCAGUAGGGGUUCUGAGAGGAAGGUCCCCCACAUUGGAACUGAGACACGGUCCAAACUCCUACGGGAGGCAGCAGUGAGGAAUAUUGGUCAAUGGGCGAGAGCCUGAACCAGCCAAGUAGCGUGCAGGAUGACGGCCCUAUGGGUUGUAAACUGCUUUUAUGCGGGGAUAAAGUGAGGGACGUGUCCCUUAUUGUAGGUACCGCAUGAAUAAGGACCGGCUAAUUCCGUGCCAGCAGCUGC
rnacentral:rRNA from 1 species